GAAGAUCAUCUGAUAAAUGGCUCUUCAAAGUAUAUCUUAAAUCAGAAAUGACCUAAGAAAUUCCGAUUGUUGGUAAAUUAAUUUAAAAAGAACUUAAUGGAAAGGGGCUUCAAGAUGGCUGAGUAGAGCCGCCUGGCAUUUGCCUCCUCCACAAAAAAGGACCAAAACAAUACAAGCAUAGAAGCCAAAUUUGGAACUACUAGAGCCUCUUGGGAAUGUAGCCCAAUGGGAGGAAAGCAGACAUAUGGAAGAGAGUUUUAGGAUAUUUAUGCUUCUUCACAAACAACACAUGUUUCCAGAUUUAAAAAGCUUUGGAACCCGGUUGAUUUUCAGAAUGCUAUCAAUUUUAGUACGAUUGCGCAAACAGAACCAAAGAAAUGUAAUCGUAUCUUGAACAAGAUCUUUGAUCACUUAAUUGAUGAAUUAAAGACUCUCAAAGGCUGUGCACCAGGUGGAAUGCUUCAGAUGUACCGGUAAUUUUAGAAGUGCUUUGUUAUUAGUUCCUUAUUUCCAGCCGUCCUGCAAAAGGUAUUUCGAAAUGUAUAUUAAAGUCAAAACCAA